AUUCACUAAGUAGAGGAUCCUGCCUCAGAAAUAUCAGAGGAUCCUUUACUUUGAAGAGGUCAAUGUGUCUUUUUUUUUUUUUUUUUUUUUUUUGCAGGAACAGGUGUAUUUGACCACACACUGGGGGAAGUGGGGGAAGUAAAGACCUGAGCUUUGAGGAAGUCAAGCUGGAGGCCCUCAGAGGUGGUUAUUUAUAUCAGAGUGAUGUGUAUUGAAAGCCAAAGACUUUCAUUCCCCCACCAUCACGGAACUGAUUUAGAGAAGAGGAAGGGCGUGUAUUUCGCCUUCUUAAAUAUCUGCUGCAAGAACUUCUGGUGUGGGUCAGACUGCUCAUGAUCCAUGCACAGGCUUUAUGGUAGAUGAAAGGGCGUGUCAUCAAUCUUGUUUCAACUACUUUGUACAUAAAAUGGCUAACUUCUCAUUGGUUGACAGACUGUGUGACUUCAUUCUUAUUUCCUUUCGCAAGAUGCUCCCUAUAUACCCCCCAUGUGAACAGCCUGUUGUGCAUGUUUGGGGUGGGGGAGGAAGGACCUUACAUUGUCUAAGCUCAAAAUAAGAAAAUCAGACUCUAACAACAACCCAAAACAAUGCAUUAGAAACUCUUGUGGUGCCACUAACAUAAAUGAAGUCUCACAUAAUUAGCUUUCAUUUUAUAUCUCUUGCAUUGUAAAAUCCCUCCCUGCCCACACCCCACCCCCAUUCAGGCUCUUUUGGUUAUGAGAAAUGAGUGUGUUUUAGGACCAACAUGUCAGAAUUAUGAGGAAGAAACUUGGCAGUGGAACAAACUAUGUGAUACGCUUGACAAGAACUGAGAAACGACCCAUUUCAGGUUUUCUGAGGCAGCCUUUCAUUUUUGGUUCAGCAAUAUAGCCCAGAAGCCACAGAAUGGGAAGCACCGUUGCCAGCACCAUGAGGGUCAUAAAGAGGCCCAGUCACAUUGGGAUGGAAGUCCUCAUCCUCAGGCUCAGAGUGGUGAAUGGGAGGCGUGCCUUGCUCAGCCCCAGAGUGGAGACAAAUGGGUGUGGAAUUCACCAUAAUCUAUGGCAAGAAAUGGCCCUUACCCAUGGGAUUGAGAAUAUUAAUGCCAGGAAGAGGUCAGACAUUGAUAUUGAAGAGCAGACCUGUGUUGGAAUGAAUGCAGUUCUAGGGCGAGACUGGUGAAUGAAGAAGGGUAAGUAUGAAUGAGGGCUGACUAGAGCAUGACAGAGAAGAAGGUCAAAAGUACCACAUGUUAAGCUGAAGCCAAGGUUUUUGGGUUUUUUUUUCUCUUUUUUUGGCCAUCCCCAUGGCAUAUGGAGUUCCUGGGCCAGGGACCAGAUCUCAGCCAGAGCUGCUGGACCCUUAACCCACUUAACUCAUUGUGCCAGGCCAGGGAUUGAACCUGAGUGCUAGGGCUCCAGAGACACUUCUGAUCCUGCUGCACCAUAGCAGGAACUCCUGAAGCCAAGAGUCUAAUGAAAGAUUAAGGUGUUCUAAUAAAAGACAGCAAGUGCUCA
rnacentral:lncRNA from 1 species